AUUGAACGCUGGCGGCAGGCUUAACACAUGCACGUCGAACGAGUGGCGGACGGGUGAGUAAUGUCUGGGAAACUGCCUGAUGGAGGGGGAUAACUACUGGAAACGGUAGCUAAUACCGCAUACCAUCGGAUGUGCCCAGAUGGGAUUAGGUAGUUGGUGAGGUAAAGGCUCACCUGGGCGACUAGCCCUAGCUGGUCUGAGAGGCGGACCAGCCACACUGGAACUGAGACACGGUCCAGACUCCUACGGGAGGCAGCAGUGGGGAAUAGUGCACAAUGGGCGGAAGCCUGAUGCAGCCAUGCCGGGUGGAUGAAGAGGGCUUUCGGGUUGUAAAGUACUUUCAGCGGGGAGGCGUUACCCGCAGAAGAAGCACCGGCUAACUCCGUGCCAGCAGCCGCGGUAAUAC
rnacentral:rRNA from 1 species